GGGUUGUGAGGUUAAGCGACUAAGCGUACACGGUGGAUGCCCUGGCAGUCAGAGGCGAUGAAGGACGUGCUAAUCUGCGAUAAGCGCCGGUAAGGUGAUAUGAACCGUUAUAACCGGCGAUUUCCGAAUGGGGAAACCCAGUGUGACUCGUCACACUAUCAUUAACUGAAUCCAUAGGUUAAUGAGGCGAACCGGGGGAACUGAAACAUCUAAGUACCCCGAGGAAAAGAAAUCAACCGAGAUUCCCCCAGUAGCGGCGAGCGAACGGGGAGGAGCCCAGAGCCUGAAUCAGCAUGUGUGUUAGUGGAAGCGUCUGGAAAGGCGCGCGAUACAGGGUGACAGCCCCGUACACAAAAGCGCAUGUGCUGUGAGCUCGAUGAGUAGGGCGGGACACGUGGUAUCCUGUCUGAAUAUGGGGGGACCAUCCUCCAAGGCUAAAUACUCCUGACUGACCGAUAGUGAACCAGUACCGUGAGGGAAAGGCGAAAAGAACCCCGGCGAGGGGAGUGAAAAAGAACCUGAAACCGUGUACGUACAAGCAGUGGGAGCACAGGUUUACCUGUGUGACUGCGUACCUUUUGUAUAAUGGGUCAGCGACUUAUAUUCUGUAGCAAGGUUAACCGAAUAGGGGAGCCGC
rnacentral:rRNA from 1 species